rnacentral:rRNA from 1 species
CCUACGGGAGGCUGCAGUGGGGAAUAUUGGACAAUGGGGGGAACCCUGAUCCAGCCAUGCCGCGUGUGUGAAGAAGGCCCUCGGGUUGUAAAGCACUUUCAGUGAGGAAGAACGCCUGGUGGUUAAUACCCAUCAGGAAAGACAUCACUCACAGAAGAAGCACCGGCUAACUCCGUGCCAGCAGCCGCGGUAAUACGGAGGGUGCGAGCGUUAAUCGGAAUUACUGGGCGUAAAGCGCGCGUAGGUGGCUUGAUAAGCCGGUUGUGAAAGCCCCGGGCUCAACCUGGGAACGGCAUCCGGAACUGUCAAGCUAGAGUGCAGGAGAGGAAGGUAGAAUUCCCGGUGUAGCGGUGAAAUGCGUAGAGAUCGGGAGGAAUACCAGUGGCGAAGGCGGCCUUCUGGACUGACACUGACACUGAGGUGCGAAAGCGUGGGUAGCAAACAGGAUUAGAUAUCCUUGUAGUC